rnacentral:lncRNA from 1 species
CAAGGCAAUGCAAAAUGGAGGAUGAAUGCAUAUAAACAACUAUGCUGUGAUGAAAAUAAAGAAAAAUAAAUAAAUGAGUGAUAUGUAUGAACAUCUGGGCUUUAGCUUUUUCCUGUGGCGUGGCCCAUCCAAAGGACAUCAUCAUACCGACUAUUAAAGCCGAUAUAUGAGCCGAGAUGUUCCCGUUUGACAUUAGACUACCACAAGCUAGACUAGGAGCCCGAAUAGGUGUCUAUGUAGACUAGGCAUGAUGCCCGAAUACAACUCAAAGACUAGGAGCUACCCAAGAAAGCACUAGAUUUAUGCAAUAUUAAGCAAACAUGCAGUGGAAAGGAAAAAAAGAAAAGAAAUGUAAAAGAAGGAUAACUUGGAUGACUUGGUUCUAAUUAACCAACUACCGUUCCUUGGCAACGGCGC